GCCUCCAUAGCUCAGUGGAUAGAGCACUGGUCUAGUAAACCAGAGGUCGGGAGUUCGAUCCUCCCUGGAGGCA
rfam:Schistosoma haematobium scaffold531_29, whole genome shotgun sequence.